rnacentral:misc_RNA from 1 species
UACGUAAGCGCGUUGUAAACAUCAGCUGUAUUUUGAAUUUGUAACCUUCAGUUCUCCCUGAGAAUUAGACCGACGCGGUCGAUGCGCCGGAUCGCAAUGAACGGAGUGAAUUUGCUGUAUUCUUUUCGGUGCCCGGAAAAGUUUUCGGAUAUCCAGAGGAGGGGCGAAGAUUCGUAUUCGGCGUCUCACUCGCGGUGGACCACGUGAUACGGAGCAGCCGCGCGAUCAGCCGAUUCAAAAGGACCUCAAUGAGUACGAAAAGGAGAGAGAGGAGGACGAGGAGCCGGAGGAAAAGCCUGAGAAGUGGAUGGAAGGGCGCGAGGAUUUAAGGAGUGGGAAAAGAGAGAUUCGCGGAGCCUCCUCUUCACGGAUUCGAGAGAAGGAACGAAUCUUUGAAAAUAAGUCUUCGAAUGAGACGCAUCGAAAAUGGCGGAUCGAAAUACAUCUUGGCAAUUACCAUGGGGCGGCCGGACGUCGAGGUAGC